rnacentral:rRNA from 1 species
UACGUAGGGCGCAAGCGUUAUCCGGAAUUAUUGGGCGUAAAGAGCUCGUAGGCGGUUUGUCGCGUCUGCCGUGAAAGUCCGGGGCUCAACUCCGGAUCUGCGGUGGGUACGGGCAGACUAGAGUGCAGUAGGGGAGACUGGAAUUCCUGGUGUAGCGGUGAAAUGCGCAGAUAUCAGGAGGAACACCGAUGGCGAAGGCAGGUCUCUGGGCCACUACUGACGCUGAGAAGCGAAAGCAUGGGGAGCGAACAGG